rnacentral:lncRNA from 1 species
UAGAAUGUGAGUAGGGGAGGGGAGAAGGGAAACAUCCAGGUACAAGGAGCAGAGAAUAAAGACGGGAGCACAGCGUGCCUGUGGGACCUGGAUGAGCCUUGGAGCAGAGGCAUCUGUUGGAAGAAGUAGCUGAAUAGAUUGGAUGGGCCUGUGAAACGAGGCCCUAAAAGCCACUGGGUUCCUCCCUCCCUCCCUCCCUGUUUUAGAGGUUUAGAGAUAAAACUGGUGAAAUUAAAAGGGACCAAAAAAGCAGUGGUUCUCAAUCCUGGUGGCACAUGAGAAAAUUAAGGAUGCUGGACUCAUUCUCCAGAAAUUCUCAUGUAAUUGGUCUGGAAAGGGGAUCUAAAUGUAGUUUCCUUCCUUCCUUCCUUCCUUCCCUCCCUCCCUCCCUCCUUCCCUCCCUCCCUUUCUCCCUCCCUUCCUCCUUUCUUUCCUUUUAUUCUUCUUUCGAUCCUUCCUCUUUCUCUUUCUGCAGAGCAGCAAUCAAAAUGGAAAAGAAAUGAACAUAAAGAGAUUUGUUUUGUUUUGUUAUUAAAAAUAUAUGGCCAGGUGUGGUGGCUCAUAACUGUAAUCCCAGUACUUUGGGAGGACAAGGUGGGCAGAUCACUUGAGACCAGAAAACAUUCUUUUGAUUAUACCUAAAACAUCUGCAAUAAUAGAUCACAUAUUAGGCCAUAAAGGAAGUUUCAGUAAGUUCCAAGGAAUCAAUCCCAUUCUGACAAUGUUUUCCAACUACAAUGCCAUCACAGAAUUAAUAUUUUUUAAAAGAUGGCUAAAAUAAAGUCCUGCUUAUAUUAACAAAAAAGUUAAAAACAAAUGAGGUUUCCUAAUAAGAUAUUAUCUCAUAUGAUAAAAUGCACACAUUUUAGAAGUCUGAUUUUUUAAGGUCUUGAAUGCCCAGGUAAGGGAUUUGGAUGGCUGGAGGUCAUACAAUACAGUAAACAGUUUAACAGACAGCCGGGGGCUGUGGCUCACGCCUGUAAUCCCAGCACUUUGGGAGGCCGAGGAGGGCAGAUCACGAGGUCAAGAGAUCAAGACCAUCCUGGCCAACGUGGUGAAACCCAGUCUCUAUUAAAAAUACAAAAAAUUAGUGUGGUGUCACAUGCCUGUAGUCCCAGCUACUCAGGAGGCUGAGGCAGGAGCCUCUUCUUGGAUAUUUGACUUCAUGGAAUGCAUCUUUUCCUUAAAAAAACCUGAUUGAGGCCCUUAUUGUAGAAAACACCUGGUAGUUGGUGCCUCUGUUUUAUCUUCCAACUCUGGUCUCCAUCCUGAACACUGUAACCAAGUUAGGCUCUGUUCAGCAUUGCUUUCACCAUUCUGUUCCUUCCACAAAAGCUUUUGGCGAGUCCCCACUGGCCUGAGGUGAAAAUCUGAAUGCUUUACAUUAGAGUUCAUGUCUCACUGUCACCCAGGCUGGAGUGCAGUGGUGCCAUCUCGACUCACUGCAGGCUCUGCCUCCAGGAUUCAAGCGAUUCUUAUUCCUCAGCCUCCAGAGUAAAGCCCGCCUUGGCCUCCCAAAGUGCUGGGAUUACAGGCCUGAGCCACCAUACCCGGCCUAAUUGUAGUUUUAAAACUCUUAAAUUCCCAGAGCUCUUUGUUCAAAUGGAAUCUCUUGUUCAAAAACAUUGUAGCUCCAUCCAUCAGGCAGAUGACCUCCACUGGGCCUCUCGCCUGACCCUCCUCUGGUGGUUUGCUCAUCAGUCAGGGACCCUGCCUCAUAAAAGGCCGUAAAAUGAGUGAGUUUUUUAAGGAAGAGAGGAGAAGAGCUUCUAGGAGGAGGAGGUGGGUGGGUGGCCAAUGGGGUGUGAUAUGGUUAGGCUUUGUGUCCCUAUCCAAAUCUCAUUUUGUCUUUUUUCUUUUUUUUGAGAUGGAGUCUCAUGCUCUAGGAUUACAGGCACCUGCCACCACACCCAGCUAAUUUUUGUAUUUUCUCUACAGAUGGGGUUUUGCCAUGUUGGCCAGGCUGGUCUUGAACUCCCAUUUUGAAUUGUAAUCCUCAGAUGUCAAGGGAGAAAAGUAAUUGAAUGAUGGGAGUAGUUUCCCCCAUGCUGUUCACGUGAUAAUGAGUGAAUUCUCACGAGAUCUGAUGGAGGAAGUUGGCUUCCCAAGACAUGUGGAAUUUAAGCCUCUUUUCUUUAUAAAUUAUCCAGUCUUGGGCAAUUCUUUAUAGCAGUGUGAAAACGGACUAAUACAGGGUGAAUGUUAUUAACUACAGUUCCUGGGGAGGAUAAAAGGUGAGAAGCAGUCAGGACUUUGGAAUUCAGGUCACCUUGCAGUAUGUAUGAUGUGGAUGGGUGGUUUUCAUGGGCCUGAGAGCUGAGUGGGAAGUGAGAAGUCUCCUUUACCUUUCUGGGACUUCAUGGAGAUCAUUUCAAUCUGAUCAGGAUGUUUUUCUAAUAAAAAUCACUGGGAACAGGGAUUCCUCUGGGCAAAUCCCCCAACCUCAUCCCUUUCAGGGAUUGAGAAAUCUCCCAACCAUUUUCCUGAUGGCAGCUGAUCAGACCAGCUUCUGUACAGAUUUGCCUUGAUGUCAGCAUCAGAGAGGUCAUCUUUAGCCACGAUCAAGUCAUCCAGGGUUACAUCAUCUGCCAGCAUCAUCCUGCUUGUGUGAAUCUGAAAGAUGCACUUCUUAGUCUUUUCAUCAGGCAGGGGGAACUUGAUCUUCCUGCCAGUGCGGCCUGGUCUGAUAAGUGCUGGAUCCAAAGUUUCUCUUCAGUUUGUGGUCAUGAUAUCUUUCACAUCUCCCCUAGAAUCAAAUCCAUCCAACUGGUUCAACAGUUCCAACAUUGUUUGCUGAAUUUCUCUCUCACCACCAGAAUUUGAGUCAUAUCUUUUUGUCCCAAUGGCGUCAGUUUCAUCAGUAAACACGAUGGAUGGUGCAUGUUCUCCAGCAACUUGAAACAAUUCCCGUACAAGUUUGGGCCCAUCACCUAGGUACUUCUGAAUAAGUUCAGAGCCAACCACUUUCAAGAAAGUGGCUGAGGUUUGGUUUGCUACCGCUUUGGCUAGCAAGGUUUUAACUAUGCCAGGUGGACCAUAGAGAAUGACCCCCUUAGGAGGCUUUAUACCCAUCUCUUCAUAAUGUUCAGCAUGGGUGAGAGGAAGCUCCACAGAUUCCUUAAUUUCCUGAAUUUGAUUAUCCAACCUCCCAGUAUU